rnacentral:rRNA from 1 species
GACGAACGCUGGCGGCGUGCUUAACACAUGCAAGUCGAACGAAAAGACGGAAAGAGCUUGCUCUUUUCAGAAUUGAGUGGCAAACGGGUGAGUAACACGUAAACAACCUGCCUUCAGGAUGGGGACAACAGACGGAAACGACUGCUAAUACCGAAUAAGUUCCAAGGGCCGCAUGGCCCAUGGAAGAAAAGGUGGCCUCUACCUGUAAGCUAUCGCCUGAAGAGGGGUUUGCGUCUGAUUAGCUGGUUGGAGGGGUAACGGCCCACCAAGGCGACGAUCAGUAGCCGGUCUGAGAGGAUGAACGGCCACACUGGAACUGAGACACGGUCCAGACUCCUACGGGAGGCAGCAGUGGGGAAUCUUCCGCAAUGGGCGAAAGCCUGACGGAGCAACGCCGCGUGAGUGAUGACGGCCUUCGGGUUGUAAAACUCUGUGAUCCGGGACGAAAAGGCAGAGUGCGAAGAACAAACUGCAUUGACGGUACCGGAAAAGCAAGCCACGGCUAACUACGUGCCAGCCGCCGCCGUAACAC